GGCGGUUCUCAGGUGAUGCACCCCAGAAUCAGGCUCCCUCCUCUCUAAUUUUGGUGCAUCACCCAAGAACCACA
rfam:Myotis lucifugus cont2.25425, whole genome shotgun sequence.